UACGAAGGGGGCUAGCGUUGCUCGGAAUUACUGGGCGUAAAGCGCACGUAGGCGGCUUCUUAAGUCGGUGGUGAAAUCCUGGAGCUCAACUCCAGAACUGCCUUCGAUACUGAGAAGCUCGAGUCCGGGAGAGGGAAGUGGAACUCCGGGAGUAGCGGUGAAAUGCGUAGAGACCCGGAGGAACACCAGUGGCGAAGGCAGCUUACUACGGAUGUAUUGACACUGAGGCACGAAAGCGUGGGUAGCAAACAGG
rnacentral:rRNA from 1 species